GCACAACUUUUAUUUUGAAAUUCUUUAAACGAAAGCUGCCUACCGGAAGUUAGACGCAAGUCUGCACACACUGCUCGCAGAUUGACGACACUAACCCAAGAACCCUUUUUUUAGUCGGGAUAGACUGAAGGAUUCAGGAAGCCAGUGGACUGAGAUCAUAUGCUGUCAGAACUGGAGGCCAGAGCCCGGAGAUUAGGCUACAUUCUGACAUGGUCUGAGAAUUCCCAUCCACCCAUGUCUACGUAAGUGAUAACAGGGAAG
rnacentral:lncRNA from 1 species